CGGCGUGACGAUUCGGUUCGUUGAGGGUUUCGAUCAUGUCCUUGCACCUUCUUCCAUCAAUCGAAAUGAUCGAAACGAAAUUCUUCCAGAUCCAUCGGGUAUAAAAAGGUAUGAUUUCCUUCACUCCAAAUCAUCUACUACAUCUUUGAAUCACUUUUGCAAUCAAUCUUUAGGAAGAUCGUCAAAGGAUUCUGACAUGGUGGAGAUCGCUCCUCCUGCGUUUGCUUCGGUUCGACAACUCUAGAAAUCCAAAAAGAAACAGAGCUUCUCAAACUUGGGAGUGUAGGCUUCCAUGGAGGUAACGUGACUGUAGAUCGGAAUGACAUAAACAGAUGCUGGAGCGCUCCCCUAAAGAGUUGGACAACCCUUGAGUCAGUUAAUGUGCACAUUAAGAUAAUGCAAAGGUGAAUGUCUGAAGCUCAGUCUUCGGUUGCAAAAGCUGAGGAAGAUAAUGAUGAAAAGUAUGAACCAUCAUCUCAGGCUCUCAGCUAUCACAUUGCUUCUCAGGUCUUUCUCUGACUCUCUUUCUCUAUAUUUCUAAUUGUCCCAAAACUUUUACGUAAGAUAGACGAUGCUAUAUAUAGGAGAUUCACUAAUUUUCUUGGUGCAUCUUUGAAGAAUCUUCUGAACAUAUGUGUCUGUAUAUACUUCUACAAUGUUUAGUCUAAUGAUGGUCUUAAUUAGCGAACAUACUUUUUUCUGGGAUUACAAAACUUGAAUUCCUAAAAUCUAUCUUCACUUUAAACUUGUGAAGAGUAUCACUCUAAACGACGUAUUUUAUUUAUCGUUGUAGUACAUGGGAUUUCCAUUACGUCUGGUUUCAACCGCUCCCUCUCUAUGUGAUCUAGCUAGCAUAUAUGUGUCGUAGCUGUAAUGUAUUGUAUGAUCUCUCAAAAAAAUUCUGUAUUAAUUGACUUCACGUAUGGAAAAGAAUGUUGUUAUUAGAUGAGAACAUGUUAGUGUAAAUUUGGUUUCACCUGUGACUUCA